GAUGAAGAACGCAGCGAAAUGCGAUACGUAAUGUGAAUUGCAGAAUUCAGUGAAUCAUCGAAUCUUUGAACGCAUAUUGCGCUCUCUGGUAUUCCGGAGAGCAUGCUUGUUUGAGUAUCAGUAAACACCUCAACUCCCCUUUCUUUUUUUGAAAUGGGAGCUGGACUUGAGUGAUCCCAACGCUUUUCUCACCGAAAAGUGGCGGGUUACUUGAAAUGCAGGUGCAGCUGGACUUUUCUCUGAGCUAAAAUCAUAUCUAUUUAGUCUGCCUAAAAAACAGAUUAUUACCUUUGCUGCAGCUAACAUAAAGGAGAUUAGUUCUUGUGCUGACUGAUGCAGGAUUCACAGAGACAGCUUCGGCUGGCCUUUGUAAACUCGAUCUCAAAUCAAGUAAGACUACCCGCUGAACUUAAGCAUAUCAAUAAGCGGAGGA
rnacentral:misc_RNA from 1 species